GAAUUAUCACAGGUAGAUCCUACUCGCCUAUUUAGGAUAACUGAGGGAAAUAAUAGAACAACUCAUCGUAAUAGAGAACGGCUGUAUUGACUUUUAAUAAAAUGUUACUAUGUCCUAAUGAAUUGAUCAUUGACGGCUAAGUUGAAAUAAUUACACUAUACUUGAGGGAUUUGUCUUAUGUAAAUAUAAUCACUAAUUUUAAGGAUAACAGUUAUGUUUAUAUCUGUAUUAUUGCAUGAGUUUAAUCUUUCCAUGUAUACAGUAUACAGCACACGGUAUGUGGAGUAUAACUUCUAAAUGGUAGGCCCAAACCUAUUUGGAGCGAAUGAUAUGGUUUAAGGGGAGAUUUAAUUUUCACUUCGGUGAAUAAGCUUUGAC